rnacentral:rRNA from 1 species
GCGUGGGGAUAUGCCCUUCUCUACGGAAUAGCCCCGGGAAACUGAGAGUAAUACCGUAUACGCCCUUCGGGGGAAAGAUUUAUCGGAGAAGGAUUAGCCCGCGUUGGAUUAGGUAGUUGGUGGGGUAAAAGCCUACCAAGCCGACGAUCCAUAGCCGGUUUGAGAGGAUGAUCAGCCACACUGGGACUGAGACACGGCCCAGACUCCUACGGGAGGCAGCAGUGGGGAAUCUUAGACAAUGGGGGAAACCCUGAUCUAGCCAUGCCGCGUGAGUGACGAAGGCCCUAGGGUCGUAAAGCU